rnacentral:tRNA from 1 species
AAAGGGAGACCUAAUUCAGGUAGGAGACGAAAAAAAAGUAGUCGCUACCAAGAAUCAAUCCCAAAAGGUCGGAGCGAGGCGAAAUUGGCUUUCAAACUAGGUUCUGGGUUCAAACAAGACCUGAAUCAGGAACAAGGGCUAUUAGCUCAGGUGGUUAGAGCGCACCCCUGAUAAGGGUGAGGUCCCUGGUUCGAGUCCAGGACGGCCCACCUGCACAGGUGGCAAAAACAAGAGAAGCUCCGAAUCAGCACCUUAUCUUACUGACAUAGUAAGAGAGAAUGCUGGCUCUGAGUAAAGAGUCCAGAGGAACCUUGAAAACUGCAUAGAGCUAGGUGAAAAAGCCAAAAAAGAAGACCGCAAG